rnacentral:rRNA from 1 species
CACGUAAGGGGCGAGCGUUGUUCGGAAUUACUGGGCGUAAAGCGUGCGCAGGCGGUUAUGUAAGACAGAGGGGAAAUCCCCGGGCUCAACCUGGGAACUGCCUUUGUGACUGCAUGACUAGAGUACGGCAGAGGGGGAUGGAAUUCCGCGUGUAGCAGUGAAAUGCGUAGAUAUGCGGAGGAGCACCGAUGGCGAAGGCAAUCCCCUGGGCCUGUACUGACGCUCAUGCACGAAAGCGUGGGGAGCAAACACG